GGCGGUAGAGCUUUCACUUACAAUGAAAGACACCCUUGUGGCGCUUUUAUAGAUUUUAUUAGGCUGAAU
rnacentral:tRNA from 1 species